rnacentral:rRNA from 1 species
CUUAACCGUGGAGGGUCAUUGGAAACUGGGGAACUUGAGUACAGAAGAGGAGAGUGGAAUUCCACGUGUAGCGGUGAAAUGCGUAGAUAUGUGGAGGAACACCAGUGGCGAAGGCGAAUCUCUGGUCUGUAACUGACGCUGAGGCGCGAAAGCGUGGGGAGCGAACAGGAUUAGAUACCCUGGUAGUCCACGCCGUAAACGAUGAGUGCUAAGUGUCAGGGGGUUUCCGCCCCUUGGUGCUGAAGUUAACGCAUUAAGCACUCCGCCUGGGGAGUACGACCGCAAGGUUGAAACUCAAAGGAAUUGACGGGGGCCCGCACAAGCGGUGGAGCAUGUGGUUUAAUUCGAAGCAACGCGAAGAACCUUACCAGGUCUUGACAUCCUCUGACAAUCCUGGAGACAGGACUUUCCCUUCGGGGACAG